CGCGUGCGCACUGGACUGUCUUCCCCUCUCCACCCCCGCUGUACGUACACAUGCUCUCACACGCGUGCGCACUGGACGGUCUUGUCACCUGGCUGCAUCCUGAGAUACGAGGCAUUUUAAGGACACAACACUGUUUGAUUUGAGGUAAGUAACGUUAACUUUAUAGUAUCCACUGCAGUUAUCCACUAGUCCAAACACUAUCGUAAGACGGCAAUCAGAUAAUGUCAAUGCAGAACUAUCAUUGAUAAUAAACAUGAAUCUAACUUCUGCUUAGUUUGGGAACGUUAACAUCAGUUUGUCCGAUUCUUGUCUCAUCCCUUUAAAACGGUGAACUGUUGAAUUCGCAGAGUUUUAGCAUGAUUUUGAUUCAGAAACGUUGACCUCAAUGCUGCUAACACAUUUGUUAGCAUGUUUUCAUCCUUUAAAAUACGAUUGCAUGCUCUAACCAGAGCCGCUGUGAUAUUUCAGUGAGUUAUUAAGGUCUUUGCCGUGGCCAACGGCGGCAAACAUAGAUCCCAUCAUGCACAGACCUUAAUAAAGAGUCGCACCUCAGAACUCACUGAAAUAUCACAGUGGCUCUGUUUAGAGCAUGCAACAUAACUGUUUUCAGUUUCUUAGGAGCAAGUUGGCUCUUCAUGUUUUAUUUUCAUUCGUUUUUCUAAUUGUAGUUGCCUUCAUUCUCAGGUCAAACCAGCCCUUCGUCACAGGCUCUAAGGAGAACAGCGGGCAGCCUGCCUGAUGCUCUCUAUCAGUGGGCCGAGCCCAGAGGACUUGAACUACAAAAGAGAAUUAGAACUGUUUUUCUUAAAGCCAGGAAAAAAACGCCCAAAAUCAGGGUGCAAAGUUUAACAAAUAAGGAGUUUGGUGCUUUGGAAGCUUGGUGGUCAUAUACUUUCAACUCAUGUGAAUUCUUCCCCCACAAGAAUGUAUCAUAUUUACAUUAAGUAAACUGGUGCCAAAGCCUUCACACAUUGAAAUACUCUGCAAGAAGACCUAAGAAUAGCUGAAACCGUGGACGACUUUAAACGUGAACUUAAGAAAUAAGACCCCCCAAUUUCCUUCUGUGAAGUGCAUUGUGUUACCUCCUGGUAUGAAAUGCGCCAUAUAAAUAAAAUUUGAUUUGAUUUGAUUGAGGUGCCAAGUUUAUUAACAUUCAAAUAGUCACCCAGUCCUUCCUGACGGCAGACCUUCACACCUUUCAUACUUCGACCCCAUUCUGUUCCUCUUCAUAAUAUGUCCCACCUUACACCCUGAACCAGACCCCCAGACACACUCAAUAUGUUAAGUUGUGUAUUCUACCUUCUGACUGAACUGAAUGAGACUUGUAUACUAUAGAGAAGAUUGAGAGGUGUGGAGACACCGACCACUAUGUGUGGUGAGAGGACGGAGUAAGCACCGACCACUAUGUGUGGUGAGAGGACGGAGUAAGCACCGACCACUAUGUGUGGUGAGAGGACGGAGUAAGCACCGACCACUAUGUGUGGUGAGAGGACGGAGUAAGCAGUGAUGCUGGGAGAUUGACGGAACAUCGCUGCCCUAAGGGAUGCAAGAUCUGUUGCAUAGAAUACUCAGAAUAAACUGACACCCUACCCAUCAGACUGGCAUUCCAUCGAUUCCUUUGAUAAAUCCUGCAACCGCAACUAACUUCAGAGCCCGAAUGGAGUUCUGUUGUGAUACAGUACAACAGAUGGUGUUUUCAUCUGAAAUUCGACGAUCUUUCAGUUGGUGUUGAUCCACCCAGUACCACGAUAAAGUGAAAAGAAGAAGAAGCUACCCAGAGAGGAGUACGCCUCAUUUUAAACGAGCCAACAGUCGAUCACCAUAACCCCCUGGAGCAGCGAGAGAGGAUUCACAUGCAAGGAGCUCACGGAGCCUCUACUGCGACUACCAAGCCAUCACUGUUGUCCUUGAUCCACCCCUCCUGCUGGACAGCAGUGACAUCCCUACAUCAACUGGACUCUCAUAUUUCCACCACACAACAUUCCAGGACUUGCAUACCCCCAUAAGAAUGACCUGAGCUACGUCUGAACAGAUGAUUAUAAAUGCAAAGCUGCACACUCAAAGCUUGCGGAAGGCAAGUGUCGCUGCACGACCGUAUGACGGUAAAGGAAUUUCGAGACUAUUUCGCCUUUACCUCUGAGCUCAGGAACUUGGCAUCUUAGUUGUAAAGAACAGCAGACUUGAAGAAUAUUGGUCUUUUUCAUAUACUUUCAGCUUGUGUCAAUCCUUCCCCCACAAGAAUGCAUCAUAUUUACAUCAGUAAAUUGGCGCCAAAGCCUUCGCACAUUGAGGCGCCACUUUCAUUAACAUCCAAAUGAAGAUCAGCCAGACCUUCACACCUUUCAUACCUAGGUAGGACCCCAUACUGUUCUCCUUCAUAAUAUGCCCCACCUUGAACCAGAUCCCCAGACACACCCAUUAUGUUAUGUUAUGUUAUGACUGAACUGAAUGAGACUUGUAUGCUAUAGAGAAGAUUGAGAGGAUUUUGCUGUGGGAUUGCCGUCUGGAGACACCAACCACUAUGUGUGGUGAUGGAACGGAGCAAGGAGUGAUGCUGGGAGAUUGAGGAAACAUCACUGCCUUUGGAAGACAAAGGGAUGCAAGGCCAACACAGAAGAGACUUGCACUACACUAUGAACGAUAUCUCCUAAUCAUCCCUCCUUCUUGUUGUGUGCGCUUUAGAUCUGUUGCAUGGAAUACACGGAAUAAACCCAUCAGACUCGCAUUCCUUCGAGUCUUACAAAUCCUGCAACCGCAACUAACUUAAGAGCUAAAAUAGUAGUUUAAAUGUAGAUUAACAGAUGUUGUUUUCACCUGAAAUCUGUCAUAAAACACAACGAGUUGAGUAUACCAUAUCAUCUAUCUAUAAUCAUUUUGUAGUAUUGUGUUUUGCGCAUUGUGUUGCCUCUUGGUAUGAAAUGCGCUAUGUAAAUACAGUUUGAUUUGAUAGUAUUAAUCUGCAAACAUGGACUGUUAUGGAUCUGUACUAUUCAUUGAAAUGAGAGAUUCUAUACGUUCUAUAGUUUGGCUAGGUCUAUUUUUGGGGGGCAAUUUUUUUGACUAAUAUUAAAUUAUUCUGUAUAUUCUCUUCAGUAUUUUGAACUUCCCAAAAUAAACCAGUUGAUGAACACUG